UACGGGGGGAGCAAGCGUUGUUCGGAUUUACUGGGCGUAAAGGGCGCGUAGGCGGCGCAACAAGUCACUUGUGAAAUCUCCGGGCUUAACCCGGAGCGGUCAAGUGAUACUGUCGUGCUAGAGUGCGGAAGGGGCUACUGGAAUUCUCGGUGUAGCAGUGAAAUGCGUAGAGAUCGGGAGGAACACCAGUGGCGAAGGCGGCUACCUGGACCAGCACUGACACUGAAGCACGAAAGCGUGGGGAGCAAACAGG
rnacentral:rRNA from 1 species